rnacentral:misc_RNA from 1 species
AUUUGUAGCUUUAGUCUGCAUUUCGCUUUCACGCCGUUUCGUUCACAUUUGUUGUUGAAUUCACAGUGACGGAGUGUUUAAAUGUCGUUGACGUGUUUAAAAAUUUCUUAAUUUGUAUUUAUCGAACCAAUUUUUUCAUAGUUGAUUUUGUGAGUGAAUAUACCCUUCUGAAAUGAGUAAAUUGCAAAAAAAAAGUGAUUUAUGUAAGUUACGAACAUUAUAAAGCAGAAAAACAUUGAUUAAAUGUAUACCAUGCGAACAUAUUGCUUUGCUAACGGAUUGGCAUACACACACAUGUGCACAUACGUACACACAUGCUCACGUAUAGAAUAUAUAAUAUAAAGAAAUAUGUACACAUGCAUAUACAUAUGCAUAUGUAUGUGGUAGCAUGCUGACGAUCAGCCGAUUGAUCCUUUUCUUGGAGGUGCUGUUGGAAGAAUAAUAAGCGGCUAAUGAUUGUUGGAUUAUACUUCCCAACCACUUGUAUAAAAAUGUUCUAAAAUUGGAAUAAAUUUGAUGUUUUUCAGUCUAAUUGGAUUUUAUGUGUAGACAGGAAUUUCUAGUUACAAACUGGUGAAUUUCGCGUCUAUUUUGGUGCUCCACUGCAUUGAUAUACACAUAUUAAUGUGUGAUUAAACAUAUAUUAAAUGUGGUGUAUGCUUGUAAAUACCUACAUAAACAUAUACAAAUAUAAAUGCUAUAUUAUACAUUCAGUGCAAUUACGGCUUAUUUAUACCGAUCACGUAUUCCCGUCAACGAAAAAGAGUUACUAGUAAAUACUAUACACGCUUAAUAAACCUACAAACAUAAAAUGUGUCGGUGUGCGUAAAUCUACUGAGAGUAAAAUAAUAUGAUACACGAAUAAAUGAGAAAAGUGAAACAGUGAACUAGGAAUUAAUAUUUAAAAUACCCACAAUUAGAGAACUUGGAGCAGACAGCAUGCUUGAUUAGAUUAAAAAGUAUAAUCACUGGAAAUGAAAAUAAAGUUAAUUAUUUUAAGUAAUUAUUAUGUAUCCUAGCCAAAGUAACGCCAAUAUAGGAGGGGGCCCAAGAGUAAGCCCGAAUGAGGAGCAUCUGCAACAUCAAUCCCCACAGCAUCAGCAACAACAAAAUAUGAAUUAUAAUACGGACCAAACGAAGCAACAAGAUACUGACACUACGUCUCCAUCUCAGCAGCAAAUAAACCCAAAUAAAAAAAUGGCUAAAAAGGCGUACGUUAAAAUUGUGGAACAACCUGCAAGCAAAGCAUUGAGAUUUCGUUAUGAAUGCGAGGGUCGUUCGGCAGGUUCUAUUCCAGGUGUGAAUUCGACGCCGGAAAUGAAAACUUUUCCUACCAUCGAAAUUGUUGGUUAUAAGGGGCGAGCAGUAGUGGUCGUCUCUUGUGUGACCAAGGACGCACCAUACCGUCCUCAUCCUCACAAUUUGGUAGGUAAGGAGGGUUGUAAAAAGGGUGUUUGCACCUUGGAAAUUAACAGCGAUACGAUGCGUGCCGUAUUCGGUAAUUUAGGAAUACAGUGCGUGAAGAAGAAAGACAUUGAAAGUGCCUUAAAAGCAAGAGAAGAUAUUCGUGUUGAUCCUUUUAAAACUGGAUUUUCGCACCGUUUCCAGCCAACUAGUAUAGAUCUAAACUCUGUCAGAUUGUGUUUUCAAGUAUUUUUAAAAGGUGACAUGGGUCGUUUCACAGUACCACUGCCACCUGUAGUCUCAGAGCCAAUUUAUGAUAAAAAGGCCAUGUCGGAUCUCGUUAUUUGUCGCAUUUGUGAGUGUUCGGCCUCAGUCUUAGGGAACACAAGAAUUAUUCUACUCUGUGAGAAAGUAGCUAAAGAGGAUAUUGCGGUGCGAUUUUUUGAAGAAAAGGACGGUGUUACAAUUUGGCAAGCAUAUGGUCAGUUCGAGCACAGUGAUGUUCAUAAACAAACCGCGAUUACAUUCAGGACACCAAAAUAUCAUAAUACAAGUAUAACAAUGCCAGUCGAGGUAUUGGUACAAUUGCAAAGACCUUCAGAUGGAGCAGUUAGUGACCCCGCGAGAUUUGAAUAUAAACCAGCGAAGUCGGGUAGGUAUUCCUUAGAAAAUUUGCGUCGUAUGCUCAAACAGCCAGACGAGUGCGUAUUUCAAGAAAUAUUAAAAACAGUUGAUAAUAAAGAAUUAAGUUUUGGAGAGGCUAUAAAUUUGGACACAUCAACUGCAGAGUCGCAUGAAGAGAUAAAGGAUUAUUUGGAUAACUCUAUUACAGUAGAAACCGCAGAAGCCGAUAAACGCCGUAACGAGAAUGAAAUCGAUGCGAUAAUCGAUGAGAAAGUAAGAGAGUUAGAGCAACAGGAACUUAAUAUGGAACCAGUAUAUAAUAAGCAACAGCUUAUUGCAAUAUCGGAGGAGUCCAAAGUGGAAAAUGUUCAACCACAGCUACAAGUUGAACGAGUGGCAAGUUCGCAGUUGGAAGAGAUAAAAUAUACUGGAGCGAAAGAACAGAAGCAACUUUCCGUUAAUGAUAAAAUCAAUGAAUGGAUGAAAAGCAAUGAAUUACAGGAGAAUGAAGGUUCUCCGCCACCUGAUGGUGCAGCAUCCAUUGCUUCUAUUGACGAGGAUAAAGUUCUUACAGCACUACUGGAUGAAGCUGCUGAAUUAGAUGAAAUUUAUACACGACAUGUGCUUCAACGUGACACAUAUAAAGCUAUGCUCACUGAAAUAAAUGAUAAGAAUUCUGAAAUAGAUGGUCAGAAGAAAUCUAUGGAAGUAGAUGAUAGUUUUGAUGAUGCAGCUACUUAUAGCAGUUUGCAGAGAGCUUUUAAGAACCCUGUCGAUAUUCCAUUGGAUGAUUUGAUGCCACCAACUCCUCCAUCCUCUCAACUUGCUCCAGAAGAUGCACAGUAUGAUCGUAAUGGAACUUUUGCAUUAAGUGCUGAUGCUGCACUGGCUACACUGGAGCAGAUUCCUAUACCACCAUUACAUCAACAGCCAAGUCAGCAGCAAAGAACCAAGCAAACGGUCUCACCACCUCGUCCAUUGCCACCAAAAUAUUUGUCACCACACAUGCACGUGACCGCUGCAGAAGAGGAGAAAUUACCCCCUCUUCCACCAAAACGUAUACGAAAGCAAGAUGGAAUUACUGAAAGCAAUUCGAUUCAAGAUAAUAUCAACGUUGUAUCCGAUUACAGAUAUCGUUCACCAGCUCCGAUUAUAAUAAAAAAGACUCCAGAUCAGUCGCCACUUUCAAAGCGUUUGCCCUCCAAGCCGAUCACCGGCAGUAAUUCAAAUACAUUACCUAAACAAAAGAAAUCAGGGUUUUUCUCCAAGAUUUUUUCGCGACGUAAAAGCAGGCCUGACCUCAAUCAAAGUGGGGACGUAGCCCAAAAUUCCAAGGGCACUACUCCAAAUUUAAGUCGUGAACCAAGUAUUUCCCAAUUUCGAAUGAACGAUCCAAAUCACGGAUCUGUAAAAUCUCUUCAGCCUAUAUCUUUACCAACAAGCCCCUCUAAAAGUGAAUUUAAUAAGGGAACUAAGUCAAGCCGCCCAGUUGGUCGCAGUGUAAGUAGCGUUUCGGGAAAACGCCCAUCACGUUUGACCGCUGAUGUUAUACAUAUACCAUUGAAAGGCGACAGUAUUAAUAGUCUGCCACAAAACGAAGAGUACUCACAUGCCAGUACCGUAACGUUAAGCAAUACACUUGACCGUAAAACUGUUUCAGCCUUACAACUUGCCGAUAUUCCACUAUGUGAGGGAAAUAUGGAACUAGUCGCGAUAGCUGACCGCCAAAGUCUGCGUAACUUAUGCGAAGGGGCUUUCAACGUCCAACUUGAUCCGGAUGUAGAUUUAACAGAAGCAGAACAUUUUGCAUUAUAUACCAGCAUACCGCCCCAAGCAACAACUAGCGAAUUCGACGAAGCUUCCGCGUAUUACGCCGCAGUUGAUGCGGGGGAGAUUUUAACUCCUGAUGAAAUCGCUAGGCGUUUGGCAGCAGCGAACUGCAUCAAUUGAAAUAAAGAACAAUUAGUAAGCUCUUCGGAAGCUAGGGGAUUUCCAUAAUUUAUUUGAUGAAAUUUGAUCAUGGAUCUUACAUUAAUAAUGAAAAUUAAAAUACUACAAGUAUAUCUCGCCGUGAAGUAGUGUCUUUGACUAUCAAUUGAAAACUUUUAAAAAUAUACAUACAUAUAUUGCUGUUUACAAAGAAACUCCUAACGAAUGAUGAAAACACACUGAUGUCAAUACUUACAUAUAAAUGUAUGUGUAUGUAAAGAUUUUGAAAAGAAAACGAUACCACAAAACAAUGUCAACGUAUUUUUCGGCAUUUAGCUUUUGAUAAAAAAAAAAAUAAAAUAUUACUAUGCAAUCGAUUGAUUUUAUAACAAUACCCUGGUAUUGAAUAUUUGUAAUGUGUCGAUCUGAUACAUAUUUUAUGUAGAGUAUUAUUCAUAUACAUAUGUACAUUGAUAUAUAUGUAUGUGUAAAAAUAUAUACCUACGUACAUACAUGGGUAUAUAUGAUACUGAGAUUGUUUGAUAUACAGAUGAAGUAUGCUCUAAAUUUGGUAAUGUCGGCGUCAAAAAAGCGACCGGAAAAACGUCAAAGUACUUACAUAGAUAUGUAUAUAAAAAUAAGGUAUUGAUGUAUUCAAGUUUCGCCCAAUUUGAACAUAGAUUCAUUUAUUAUAUAACAAUACAAAAUAUGGAUUGGAAUCCCGAUCUAUUUGUAGCUUUUUAUAAAAUCAUAAUAUUAAGCCAGAUGUAUUAGAUUUUAAAAUUACACAUGUAACUGAAUUAUUGACGAAGGACUUAAAAGCGAACUUUGUAUGAAAUUUAUAGAAAAAUAAACCAAGAAAUAACUCUUUUGAUUAUAGGACCAGAGGAAUUGAGACGAAAACGUCAAAGGACUGAUGGCGAUACAAUGCAUUUCUCGACGCAACAACAAAGUGAUCACCCAGGUGGUCGCAUGACAAAUUGGAAUACACCCAAUAUACCAGCGAUUAAGACGGAGCCAAGAGAAGCAUCACCCCAACCAUUUAACUUAUAUCGCGGAACUUCGGAGAUGACUCCAUCUCCCCAGCCUUUAUCACCGCCGAAUAACUACAAUCAUCCAAAUACACCAUCACCAUACAACAUGACUGCAGGAGGAAAUACACCAUUGAUGUCGCCUAGCCAUCAAUAUCAAGGGAGCACCGCGGUAGGGGGAGUUCCACCAAAUACUGAUACAAUGCCCAUUCCACUAGAGAUGCAUAACGAGUUUAACUCAUAUAGAGGUGGCCAGCCACAGCCAGUACAACUCCAUUCGCGGCAGUAUGUGCGUCAUUCUGAACUGCCACAACAGCAGGACUCACAUCAACAACCACAUCAUAAUCAGCAUCAGCCACAGCAGCAGGAAUAUCAUAAUAUUCUUUAUGGCAAUACAGAAGCAACAAAUUGGGAGGAAAAGUAUUCUAAUGUGCUACCGGUAAUGGGCAAUAUGAGCACAGCAGCCAUAGCAAUGAAUAAUCUUAAUGCAAACAACAACCAGUUCAAUUUGCAGAAUUUGUUAACGGCGACAGCCACUGCUAUGUCAGCUGCAACGCAGAAUCCGCAUUGGAAUUUUCCACCAAAUCACGAGAAUGCACAACUGCAGCAACAACAUCAGCAUCAAAUGCAAAUUCAACAACAGCAGUCACCGCAACCACCAUUCCAACAACCAUCGAAUAACAACCACGAUGCGACAAUGGUAAACUUGUCAAGGAGCAGCAACGCAAACAUUGUGAACAUUGUUGAUACUGUCGGAGACGGCGAUCAGGGACCAACGAUAAGUAACUUAUUGAAUUUCGAUAGCGGACAGCUUGUGCACAUCAAUUCUGAGGAACAGCAAAUGCUUCGACUCACCUCCGAAGAACUCAGACUCUCCAAUUUGUCUAUAUCGUCGUGACGAUGAAGUAUAGUACAUCAUUAGUUUAAGGAAAACCCUAUUAUUGCAUAUUAUUUUUGGCCCCAAACCGCAUCAACUCACAUAAGGGUAUGUAUGGGUUGAUGUUUAAGGUGAUUGAAAAAAUAAAUGCCAUACGUACAUAUCACCUAAUAGCACCUCUUACGGGCACCCUUAUACAUAUGCAUGUAAGUGUGUAAUUGCGAGAGAAAAACUUACGAAAUUAAAAUAUAAAUUUAUCAGUGCUUAGUCAUUAA